CACAUGCAAGUCGAGGGGCAGCAUGGUCUUAGCUUGCUAAGGCCGAUGGCGACCGGCGCACGGGUGAGUAACACGUAUCCAACCUGCCGUCUACUCUUGGACAGCCUUCUGAAAGGAAGAUUAAUACAAGAUGGCAUCAUGAGUCCGCAUGUUCACAUGAUUAAAGGUAUUCCGGUAGACGAUGGGGAUGCGUUCCAUUAGAUAGUAGGCGGGGUAACGGCCCACCUAGUCUUCGAUGGAUAGGGGUUCUGAGAGGAAGGUCCCCCACAUUGGAACUGAGACACGGUCCAAACUCCUACGGGAGGCAGCAGUGAGGAAUAUUGGUCAAUGGGCGAGAGCCUGAACCAGCCAAGUAGCGUGAAGGAUGACUGCCCUAUGGGUUGUAAACUUCUUUUAUAAAGGAAUAAAGUCGGGUAUGCAUACCCGUUUGCAUGUACUUUAUGAAUAAGGAUCGGCUAACUCCGUGCCAGCAGCCGCGGUAAUACGGAGGAUCCGAGCGUUAUCCGGAUUUAUUGGGUUUAAAGGGAGCGUAGAUGGAUGUUUAAGUCAGUUGUGAAAGUUUGCGGCUCAACCGUAAAAUUGCAGUUGAUACUGGACAUCUUGAGUGCAGUUGAGGCAGGCGGAAUUCGUGGUGUAGCGGUGAAAUGCUUAGAUAUCACGAAGAACUCCGAUUGCGAAGGCAGCCUGCUAAGCUGCAACUGACAUUGAGGCUCGAAAGUGUGGGUAUCAAACAGGAUUAGAUACCCUGGUAGUCCACACGGUAAACGAUGAAUACUCGCUGUUUGCGAUAUACAGCAAGCGGCCAAGCGAAAGCGUUAAGUAUUCCACCUGGGGAGUACGCCGGCAACGGUGAAACUCAAAGGAAUUGACGGGGGCCCGCACAAGCGGAGGAACAUGUGGUUUAAUUCGAUGAUACGCGAGGAACCUUACCCGGGCUUAAAUUGCAGAUGAAUUACGGUGAAAGCCGUAAGCCGCAAGGCAUCUGUGAAGGUGCUGCAUGGUUGUCGUCAGCUCGUGCCGUGAGGUGUCGGCUUAAGUGCCAUAACGAGCGCAACCCUUGUUGUCAGUUACUAACAGGUUCCGCUGAGGACUCUGACAAGACUGCCAUCGUAAGAUGUGAGGAAGGUGGGGAUGACGUCAAAUCAGCACGGCCCUUACGUCCGGGGCUACACACGUGUUACAAUGGGGGGUACAGAGGGCCGCUACCACGCGAGUGGAUGCCAAUCCCCAAAACCUCUCUCAGUUCGGACUGGAGUCUGCAACCCGACUCCACGAAGCUGGAUUCGCUAGUAAUCGCGCAUCAGCCACGGCGCGGUGAAUACGUUCCCGGGCCUUGUACACACCGCCCGUCAAGCCAUGGGAGCCGGGGGUACCUGAAGUGCGUAACCGCGAGGAGCGCCCUAGGGUAAAACUGGUGACUGGGGCUAAGU
rnacentral:rRNA from 1 species